AACCUGAUCUGUUGUUCAGGUGCAUUUAAUGCUUAAAAGGGAACGCCUGUGAAAAUCAGGGACGGGCCCGCCGCUGUAAGUGGGGACCAAAGCUUUAAAAAACGCCACUGUCAAUUAAAAGCCGUAAAUAAAGGCUUGAAAAUCGGCGGGAAGGCAGAAGCCAAAAGGAUGAUCCACAAGUCAGAAGACCUGCCGGACACAUUGAUGUAUU
rnacentral:ncRNA from 2 species